rnacentral:lncRNA from 1 species
GUUGAAAAUAGUAAAAUGUAAAAAUGAAAAGCAAAAAAAGAUGGAAGAUAAUGAAGAAUGGAUGGGGGGCAACCCGCAUGUCCAUCACAGACCCAGGUAAUAAGAGGGGGCUCUGGCCGUGGGCAGUCUUCAUCACAGGUUCCAAUGGGGAGCAAUCUGAUCCCUUAAUAGAAAUGACAAAAAAAUAUUACCUUGUUAGUAAAGAUUGUACUAAAAAACAACAAAUAGGUAAAGGUACCGGAGUUCAAUAUAACAUUUUGAAAUAGAUCCAUGUGGGGAAAAAUUACAUGAGUUUCAUCAUUCUCUUUGUUGCUCUUAACUCUCAAAGGUUGUUUGGAACCAUUCUUGUUUUGAUGAGGUCUAUGAGCUUAUAUUGUUUAGAGGAGAAGGGAAGAGAUGGAAAUGAAAGAAAGAUUGAAGAAAGAGAGUGGUGGAAGCCUAAGGAGUGGUGUGGUUGAAAGGACAAAAGUGAAAAUAUGGAAAGUGAAAAGUGAAUUGGAAUUUGA